UGCCCUGCAUCUCCGAAAUGUGAAAGCAGGAGAUGUGCCGGACAACCUCAGGAAAAAGAUAAUUGAAUGGCUUUCAUUUAAUCUGUCUUCGCAGACAAUGUACCCAAAUAAGUUGUACAAGGUUGCUGCAGUGAGCCUUGUAAACGCCUACCCACAGCUAAGAGAUAGCUCAGACUCUGGCCACAUCUCCUGGUACAUGUGCCUUAGAAAUAAGUACAAGAACAUGCGCAAGCGAAUGCCUCCAGGAUGCCCGGAAGUAGAUGCUCAAAAAGAGAAAUUCAAAGCAAGGAAGUUGGGCAAAAGCUCUGUCGCUUCCUCUAAAACUGGGUUUC